rnacentral:sRNA from 1 species
AUGUACCACGCGUACGCUGCGGUUCUGAGCGCGUCGUCCGCGCGCACCUGACGGCUGCUCACUAUGCUUUUUAGCC